rnacentral:lncRNA from 1 species
UCUCAGGGUCAAAUGGGGCCUCUUUAGGUUGGAAAUGCAGAAGGGGUCAUCUGGGUCACUGUGCCAUGGGAAUGAUGAACGCAUUGGAUCAUGGGAAUUUUGUGCAGCAGGAGAUGGGCUUCCUCUGUGAGCCUCAGCAGUAACCAUGGUGAUGGAAGGACGGGUGCAGUACCAGGCAGUAUAUAUCCAGCGUUCCCACUGGUGUUGCGGAGAGAAUCAAGAACGCAUCAUGGACACGAAUCUCCAUCACAGGUGCCUGACUCCCCACUUUCCUAUCCCCCAUACUUAGUAGAAGGGAAGAUGGGUAGCAGUUGUCUGUAGCAUUCCAACUGCACAGGAAGUAUUUUCCUACUGAAACGAUGUUAAAAGAGGUGCACGGACUUCCCUUAAUGUGAAUUAGAUAAAUCACUGAGAGUUGGCCUGAAAAGCAAAUAGCCAUUUUAAGAUUAUUUCUACGAGAAUCAUAUUUAUACAUCCAAAAAUUAGCUGACCAUCAACAAACAUUUGAAAUACAAUCUGUCAUAGGUUGGGAAAUAGUUGGAUAUUUUUAAAAUUUUGAUUUAUACAAAUUCUUUCAAAUAUGCAUUAGGCCACAACCAUUUCUUGAGUUCCUGAACAUCUGUUGCAUUAAUAAAUGUGGUACCUAUAUUAACAUAUCACUUAAAGCUCAAACAUAACUUGGGGGUUCAUCAUACUAUUUGCUCUGCUUUUGCAUAUGUUUGAAAUUUUUUGUAAUAAAAAGGAUAUAAAUUUCAAAAUUCCCCAAGGAUUAACCUAGGGCAAAAUUAGGUGGCAAUACAAAAAACUCUAAUAAGAAGUAAAAACUUGAGGCGCCAGGGUGGCUCAGUCAGUUAAGCAUCUGACUCUUGAUUUCGGCUCAGGUCAUAAUUCACUGUGGUUUGUUAGCUGGAGUCCAGAGUCAGGCUCUGUCUUUACUACCAGUGUGGUGGCUGCUCGGGAUUCUUUCUCUGCCCCAGUCCCAUGCACGUGCACAUGCACAAGCUCUCUCAAAAUAAAAAAACAUUAAACAAAA